rnacentral:rRNA from 1 species
UACGUAGGGGGCGAGCGUUAUCCGGAUUUACUGGGUGUAAAGGGAGCGUAGACGGCAAUGCAAGUCUGGAGUGAAAGCCCGUGGCUCAACCGCGGAACGGCUUUGGAAACUGUAUGGCUAGAGUGCUGGAGAGGUAAGCGGAAUUCCUAGUGUAGCGGUGAAAUGCGUAGAUAUUAGGAGGAACACCAGUGGCGAAGGCGGCUUACUGGACAGUAACUGACGUUGAGGCUCGAAAGCGUGGGGAGCAA